CUUUAAUAUUUAAGAAUGAAAUGCCAACUGCUCAAUGCUUCAACAAAUAGCAAUCAGGUACCCACUGGGAAGAAGGUGAGAAUAUCAGGACUGAGUCAUUAAUUCAAAAGAUAUCAUGAAAAUACAAGGUAGACAGCACCUUGAUCUGCUAUGAAAUAACCUCAGGAAUGCAAUUGUACAAUACUUUCAAAGGGGCCCACAAAUUCACCAAUGUCAUAAAUGUGAAAUAUUCACUGACUAUAAGGAAGCAUUUGCAUAGGAUGAACUACCUCAUAAAAAGCCCAUUUCCUCAGUUAAUGCAAAUGUUGCUAUUGGUGCUGAGCAGAAGAGCAUUUCUACUUUUCCUACUGCAAAUGCUGUAUUUCUUUCAAUAUUAAGGUUAAUGAGGGCUGGGGCCCUAUAAUCUACAUGAGUAGGUUAAUUCUCAUGUGUCCUAGAUAGUUGAGAGAGAAAGAGAUUUAGAACUUCAGCUGAAGAGGGAUGCCAAACUGGAAAUGAAGGUGUGCCAAGGAAGCAAGGAAAAGCCUUGUGGAAGGGUCUUGGUACCUCAGCUCCUCCAUCUGUAAGGUAGAAAUGCCGAACAGGACAUCGUCCUCCCUGUGUGUGACUGAGAUGCCAGUUCACAGUGCUCUCCUGGGCAGCGUGCCGCUCAGUUUUCAACAUUCAGGUAGAGGACUGAGGUAGACACUACUGAUCAGAGUCACUGGCUUUGGGUACCACUGACAGAUAGCCAGGCUUGUCCACGCACAGACUUUGGACAAUGGUUUUAAAGCACCAGUUUAAACCCAAGAUAAGAAUCUUAAA